rnacentral:rRNA from 1 species
GAUGAACGCUGGCGGCGUGCCUAAUACAUGCGAGUCGAGCGAACAGACGAGGAGCUUGCUCCUCUGACGUUAGCGGCGGACGGGUGAGUAACACGUGGAUAACCUAUCUAUAAGACUGGGAUAACUUCGGGAAACCGGAGCUAAUACCGGAUAAUAUAUUGAACCGCAUGGUUCAAUAGUGAAAGACGGUUUUGCUGUCACUUAUAGAUGGAUCCGCGCCGCAUUAGCUAGUUGGUAAGGUAACGGCUUACCAAGGCAACGAUGCGUAGCCGACCUGAGAGGGUGAUCGGCCACACUGGAACUGAGACACGGUCCAGACUCCUACGGGAGGCAGCAGUAGGGAAUCUUACGCAAUGGGCGAAAGCCUGACGGAGCAACGCCGCGUGAGUGAUGAAGGUCUUCGGAUCGUAAAACUCUGUUAUUAGGGAAGAACAAAUGUGUAAGUAACUAUGCACGUCUUGACGGUACCUAAUCAGAAAGCCACGGCUAACUACGUG